UACGUAGGGAGCAAGCGUUGUCCGGAAUUACUGGGUGUAAAGGGAGCGCAGGCGGGAUGGCAAGUUGGGUGUUAAAUCUACCGGCUCAACUGGUAGUCGCACUCAAAACUGCUAUUCUUGAGUGAAGUAGAGGCAGGCGGAAUUCCUAGUGUAGCGGUGAAAUGCGUAGAUAUUAGGAGGAACACCAGUGGCGAAGGCGGCCUGCUGGGCUUUUACUGACACUGAGGCUCGAAAGUGUGGGGAGCAAACAGG
rnacentral:rRNA from 1 species